rnacentral:rRNA from 1 species
UCCGGAUUUAUNGGGCGUAAAGCGAGCGCAGGCGGUUAGAUAAGUCUGAAGUUAAAGGCUGUGGCUUAACCAUAGUAUGCCUUGGAAACUGUUUAACUUGAGUGCAGAAGGGGAGAGUGGAAUUCCAUGUGUAGCGGUGAAAUGCGUAGAUAUAUGGAGGAACACCGGUGGCGAAAGCGGCUCUCUGGUCUGUAACUGACGCUGAGGCUCGAAAGCGUGGGGAGCAAACAGGAUUAGAUACCCUGGUAGUNCACGCCGUAAACGAUGAGUGCUAGGUGUUAGGCCCUUUCCGGGGCUUAGUGCCGCAGCUAACGCAUUAAGCACUCCGCCUGGGGAGUACGACCGCAAGGUUGAAACUCAAAGGAAUUGACGGGGGCCCGCACAGGCGGUGGAGCAUGUGGUUUAAUUCGAAGCAACGCGAAGAACCUUACCAGGUCUUGACAUCCCUCUGACCGCUCUAGAGAUAGAGUUUUCCUUCGGGACAGAGGUGACAGGUGGUGCAUGGUUGUCGUCAGCUCGUGUCGUGAGAUGUUGGGUUAAGUCCCGCAACGAGUGCAACCCCUAUUGUUAGUUGCCAUCAUUGAGUUGGGCACCCUAGCGAGACUGCCGGUAAUAAACCGGAGGAAGGUGGGGAUGACGUCAAAUCAUCAUGCCCCUUAUGACCUGGGCUACACACGUGCUACAAUGGCUGGUACAACGAGUCGCAAGCCGGUGACGGCAAGCUAAUCUCUGAAAGCCAGUCUCAGUUCGGAUUGUAGGCUGCAACUCGCCUACAUGAAGUCGGAAUCGCUAGUAAUCGCGGAUCAGCACGCCGCGGUGAAUACGUUCCCGGGCCUUGUACACACCGCCCGUCACACCACGAGAGUUUGUAACACCCGAAGUCGGUGAGGUAACCGUAAGGANCCA